UUGUUUAUGGCAAGAUAUAAGAAAUUAAAAAGCACGUUUAAGCAAAGGUUGUCUGAGAAAGAGCAUUUGCAUUUCCCUCCUCCAUGCUAGUAGCUUGGCUUGGGACUGGUUGGCGAAGAAUCCAAUUUCUCUUCCUAUUGUAUGCAUUACGUUGAGAAAGAGUGUUUCAGAUCCCGAACCGUAUCGUACUAUAGUUAUAGGUAGUAGCGUUAGCGUGAUUGAUCAGUGAUCACUAUCAGAUCAGAAUUGUGAUCGUGGAUCGAAGCAAGCAAUGUUCAAAUUCUUGAAAGAGGUGGUGAGUGGAUCUGGAACCGGCCUCAAAGAUCUACCAUACAAUACCGGUGAACCUUACGCUUCUGCUUGGGGCUCUUGGCUUCAUUUUCGCGGCACAUCCAAGGAUGACGGUUCUCCUGUGCCAAUAUUUUCUCUGUCUGGGAGCAAAGCUCAGGAUGGGCAUUUAGCUGCGGGGCGUAAUGGCGUUAAAAGUCUUCGCACUGUUAGGCAUCCGAAUAUUUUGUCGUUUCUUCACAGCACCGAGAUCGAAACCGUCGACGCUGGUUCUCCCAAGGUUACAAUUUAUAUGGUGACCGAGCCGGUGAUGCCGCCGUUGGACAAGAUUAAGGAGUUGAGUCUUGAAGGUACACAAAGGGAUGAAUAUUAUGCUUGGGGCCUGCAUCAAAUAGCAAAAGCUGUGAGCUUCUUAAAUAACGAUUGUAAACUUGUUCAUGGUAAUGUUUGCUUGGCUAGUGUUGUUGUCACACAAGCAUUGGACUGGAAACUCCAUGCUUUUGAUGUUCUAUCAGAGUUUGAUGGGAGUAAUGAAGCUUCUUCUGGGCAAAUGCUGCUGUAGAUACUCCUUCAACAGCACCUGUUGGUGUAAGCUCAACACCAGAUUUUGCUGAACACCCUGUCCCUACAUCCCCAACGUCAACAGAUGGCUGGGGGGAACUAGAGAAUGGACUCGACGAGGAGCGUGAAAAUGACAAGGAUGGGUGGGAUGAUCUGGAACCACUUGAAGAAAUAAAACCAGCUCCAGCUCUUGCAAAAAUUCAAGCAGCUCAAAGGAGGCCAGUUCCUCAACCUGAUUCGCAGCUAAAAACAAGCCUCAAGUUUGCGAUCCAAAAGUACACCAAAGUUGAGCAAGGAUGAAGAUGGUGAUUUGUGGGGUUCCAUAGCAGCUCCUGCUCCAAAAACAUCAAAACGUUUUAUUGAACAAGUGGUCUCAAUAACUUAAAAAAGGAUAGACUUAGAAUGCAGAAGAAAAAGACGAAACAAUCAAUUUAAUAAUGUUCUUUUAAAUGGGUAAGAUAAAAUUGAUUGUAAUAAAAUAAAUGAGACAAGGGAAGAGAGAAAUGCAAACUUGAUUUAGACUGGUUCGGUCACUUUCUGUGCCCACGUUUAGUCCUCAAGCAACUCACUUGAGAUUUUCACUAAUUUUGUAUAAAAUCUUUUUACAACUUUUGAACACCCAAGGAAUCCCUUUCCCUUGCGUUC